UUGUGUGCCACUGCAGACUCUACCUCAUAUAUCCACACAAUCAUCACAAUAUGGACAGAAAUAUCCAAUUGAAACGAAAAGAAUUUCAGCACUGUCCCACGCUGUACAAUCAGUAAACAAUAUCAUUUACCCACCUAUUGUUUAGUAGUUGUUGCCACGUUAUGUCAUCAAACUCUAUACACUAACAAAAGAAGAUUCUGAAGUCCAAGACACUGUUCCUUCAUUACUCGAGCCACAAAUGCCUAAUCUCAUGCCAAACUAUCUCCAAUGCGUUCUUCGGCUCCUGUUGCUCGAGACGAUGAUGAAUGUACAUCUGAUACAGACAAGCUGAG
rnacentral:misc_RNA from 1 species